rnacentral:rRNA from 1 species
AUUGAACGCUGGCGGCAGGCUUAACACAUGCAAGUCGAACGAGUGGCGGACGGGUGAGUAAUGCUUGGGAAUCUAGCUUAUGGAGGGGGAUAACUACGGGAAACUGUAGCUAAUACCGCGUACCAUAGGAUGAGCCCAAGUGGGAUUAGGUAGUAGGUGAGGUAAAGGCUCACCAAGCCGACGAUCUCUAGCUGGUCUGAGAGGAUGAUCAGCCACACGGGGACUGAGACACGGCCCAGACUCCUACGGGAGGCAGCAGUGGGGAAUAUUGCGCAAUGGGCGCAAGCUGAUGCAGCCAUGCCGCGUGUAUGAAGAAGGCCUUCGGGUUGUAAAGUACUUUCAGUAGCGAGGCGUUACCUACAGAAGAAGCACCGGCUAACUCCGUGCCAGCAGCCGCGGUAAUUC